AUUGAACGCUGGCGGAAUGCUUUACACAUGCAAGUCGAACGAUGAACCUUAGCUUGCUAUGGGGUUUAGUGGCGAACGGGUGUGUAAUAUAUCUGAACGUGCCUUGUAAUGGUGGAUAACUAGUCGAAAGAUUAGCUAAUACCGCAUACGCCCUGAGGGGGAAAGUAGGGGAUCUUCGGACCUUACGUUAUAAGAUCGGCCGAUAUCUGAUUAGCUAGUUGUUGGGGUAAUGGCCUACCAAGGCGACGAUCAGUAGCUGGUCUGAGAGGACGACCAGCCACACUGGAACUGAGACACGGUACAGACGACUACGGGAGGAAGCAGUGGGGAAUUUUGGACAAUGGGCGCAAGCAUGAUACAGCAAUACCGCGUGAGUGAAGAAGGCCUUCGGGUUGUAAAGCUCUUUCGCAAGGGAAGAAAAGUUACCAUAGAAUAAAUGGUGAGGCUGACGGUAACUAGAUAAGAAGCACCGGCUAACUACGUG
rnacentral:rRNA from 1 species